rnacentral:rRNA from 1 species
UACGUAGGGUGCAAGCGUUAAUCGGAAUUACUGGGCGUAAAGCGUGCGCAGGCGGUUCGUUGUGUCGGUGGUGAAAGCCCCGGGCUUAACCUGGGAAUGGCCAUGGAAACUGGCGAACUGGAGUGUGGCAGAGGGGGGUGGAAUUCCGCGUGUAGCAGUGAAAUGCGUAGAUAUGCGGAGGAACACCGAUGGCGAAGGCAAUCCCCUGGGCCUGUACUGACGCUCAUGCACGAAAGCGUGGGGAGCAAACAGG